rnacentral:tRNA from 1 species
CUGGGGAUAUAGCUCAGUUGGUAGAAUGCUUGCCUUGCAUGCAGAAGGCCCUGGGUUCAAUCCCCAGCACCAGA